UUCUUUUGGAUAUUUCAUUCUC
rnacentral:snRNA from 1 species